GAUGAACGCUGGCGGCGUGCUUAACACAUGCAAGUCGAACGGAAAGGCCGAAUCUUGCUUCGGUACUCGAGUGGCGAACGGGUGAGUAACACGUGGGUGAUCUGCCCUGUACUUCGGGAUAAGCUUGGGAAACUGGGUCUAAUACCGGAUAUGACGAUCUCUUGGAUGGGGUUGUGGAAAGCUUUUGCGGUAUGGGAUGAGCUCGCGGCCUAUCAGCUUGUUGGUGGGGUAAUGGCCUACCAAGGCGUCGACGGGUAGCCGGCCUGAGAGGGUGUACGGCCACAUUGGGACUGAGAUACGGGCCAGACUCCUACGGGAGGCAGCAGUGGGGAAUAUUGCACAAUGGGCGCAAGCCUGAGGCAGCGACGCCGCGUGGGGGAUGACGGCCUUCGGGUUGUAAACUCCUUUCGCAAUCGACGAAGCCUUUUGGUGACGGUAGGUGGAGAAGAAGCACCGGCUAACUACGUG
rnacentral:rRNA from 1 species